CGGCUGGCGUGCAUUCUCAGCGCACAGAAGCUUCCACUUCACCAGGCGCCCACGCCCGUACACACUUUUCCUCCAUGUAAAGCCCAAACACACAGUGACACGCCAUCACACGCGCGCAUAUUCUUAUGCAGUGACGAUACCUCGCCCUCUCUCGCUCUCUCACAAGCACCUUGCCCGUCUCUCUCUCGGGCAUCCUCGUCCCUCCCCACUUCGACUGCCUCCCGCCCAACGUCCCCGCUCGCUCUGCUUGAGUCUCCAUACGCUUACAGACCAGCACGAGGUUUCCAGUCAAGCUCAUCGAGCGCACAGAAAACAACAAAAUCUACUCCCACUUGCACAGCUUCGUGUGACACCAUCGGCCUCGACGACAGUUCACACGCGUGUCCUCCCGCACUCGAUCAUCUAAGCAGAACGAUACCGGGCCAGCAGCAGCGGCAGCAACUACUACAACAAGCCAACAAAAGGCAGAAAUCAUGGCCCACCUUGGCGGGCACACGACUAAGCAGACCUACGUGACGACAUACACGACAGACAUCGACCCUCGCAUGCUGCCGGACUUUGUGACCCGCGGUGCCGUGCCAGCAGAGGGCUGGCGCGGUGAUGAAACUACCGGGGAGCGACAGACAAGCGCGAAGUAUGCUUCACAACCGCCUUGCGGCCAGGAGCGGCACCAUCACCCACCUCGGCAUCCUUACAACCCACGGCCGCCUCACCAUGGCGGCGCGCCUCCUUACGAUCACGGCUAUCGCCAGCAACCUCCCGCUUCCCAUCACGACGAGUACGGAUGCAGCGAAGCUUCGGCGUCAACAUCGUCCGCCACUACCUCAGCCACUUCCAGCGCUAGCAGAGCCGAUAAUGGCAGCUCACACCGCUUGCGCAAGAAGUACACCACCACCACCGUCACAACGAUCACCACCACCACGAUCCUGCUGCCGAAGGUGCAAGAGGCCUACGUAUUCCCCUCUGUUACGUCCCAUCACACGGACCAGCAGCAGAACGUGGGAGGGGCAGGCGGACCGUACGCCAUCACAGGCGGCGGCACGCGCGAAUACGUGCAACCGCCGCAAGGGUGUCUUUAUGAGGUCGGCAAUGGCAGCGACAGUAGCGGCCGGAUUCAGGAGGCCAAUUUUCCCGCCGGCAAUCGUGUAGUGCCAUCGAAGAUGCAGCCCGCCCUCAGUGGCGAGGGCUCGCAGAACUGGGAGUUCCGCCAGCACACCAAAAACCAGGUAGAAACAGAGGAGGCCCGGGGGCGGCUGCCCACGCUGCAGGACCUCGGUAUCGCCAGCUACUUUGCAAAGGACAGCACAGGAAACGGAAGCGCGGUGCCGCGGCGGCGGGAGGCACCGUAUGCUCCGGCGCCGCACAACCCCAGUAACGGCGCUGCCCCGCUGCGGCAGCAGCCAUGGGUGGCGGCGGAGACGCGGUACGAAGUGGAGGGCGGCAAGCGAUACUGCUAGGAAAGCAUCAUGGCACGCCGUCCGCCCCGCACGGCUUUCGUGCGCGGCCUUAUUCUCUGGUUUCGGUGCCGAGCACCAUCGAGUCGUUCGUCGGCAGCCGGCGCGUAAGCAUGGAAAAACGAUACCUGACCCGCGUUCCAGAUCUUUCCUUUGUUCUUUUCUGCUGUUGGUGAUUUGCUCGUGACUCGUCCUGCACGCCUGCUUCGUCGUGCAUGCGCAUGCGGUCUCACAGUAUAGAGCGCUCAUGGAGGCGGUGUGCCGCUCCCUCCUCCUCCCCCUUUUGUUUGUGCAUAUCCACGGCGAUAUGAACCGUCGGAUAACUCUUCAUUGUUGCCGUUCUUGGGUGUGCGCGUGCAUUCUCCGUGCGGGCUGUCCAAUGCGGUGGGGCGCAUGUGGGCGCGUAAGCGUCCCCUUCCUCCCUUCCCCUCUCCCCACGGGUUGCACUCAACAUGCUUGGCGCUCGACCACAGCCACUCGCCCUCUAUUGCUGAUAUCUCUUUCUGUUUUCGUCUUCUUUCCAUGGCAUAAACUGUUUUUCUUUUUUUUUCUCAUAUGGUUUUCGUAUCCGAUGCCUUCAUACUGG
rnacentral:misc_RNA from 1 species